UUCUUUUUCGGAACACUCACUUAUAUUCAUCGGCUUCCCUGUGUAGAGUGUGUGUGAGAUGGUGCUGACUGCUGAAAUAAACUACUCAAGAGCGGUCAGAGAAUGAGAAUUUAAGGCUAUGUCAUAGUAAAAAUUUAACUCAAUUUCCAUAUGCAGGAGACUUACGGUGUUAAAACAAUACCGAUCUUGUGAAUUUUUCCAAAGUCUCCGCAAACUCGACCUCAAAUUAUUCUAUAGCCUAAAACUUUCAACAAAAAUGCAAUAUUUCCAUAUGCAGGAGACUUACGGUGUUAAAACAAUACCGAUCUUGUGAAUUUUUCCAAAGUCUCCGCAAACUCGACCUCAAAUUAUUCUAUAGCCUAAAACUUUCAACAAAAAUGCAAUUUUUUUUUAGAAAGAAAACAAAAACAAAACAAAACAAAAACAAAAACAAAGAAAAU
rnacentral:lncRNA from 1 species